rnacentral:misc_RNA from 1 species
CACGAAGAUUGUGAAGCCACGGUGAUGUGUGCGCGCACUUUCUUUCCCGCGCUUAUGCGAUCAGCCCUCCCCCGGUUCCCACGAGCAUUCUCCUGCUCAUUACGACUUCCCGAGGCAGAGGUGCACACGGAACCAAGUCGGUUUCUCGAAAGGAACACCGGUAACAACUCGACCCUCGACUGCUCCGUCAAUAGUAGCUGCUCGAAUGCGGCCUGUUUCAAUAUUUGUAAAUCCUGCCAUUCCCCCCCUGCCCCUGUUACGUCGACACUCGACAGUUCUCUGCUCGUCAGGAUACAAACAAGGCGAUUCGACUUCUUAACCGGGGAAACUUGUUCAGAAAGGAUGGAGAAGCUUAAAUAAUAUCUGGUAAUGUUGGGAAUUGAAGAUAUAGAAAGAAAUAAGUAUAUAUAUAAACAGUCAAAGCUAUUAUGUAGUAUAAAUUAAACAAAAUAUUUAACGAAAUUAAUUAAACAAAAUAAAACAAUUAUAUUCUCUAAAUUGAACUAAAACUGGC